rnacentral:rRNA from 1 species
AUUGAACGCUGGCGGCAGGCUUAACACAUGCAAGUCGAGCGCGCGGCGGACGGGUGAGUAAUGUCUGGGAAACUGCCUGAUGGAGGGGGAUAACUACUGGACACGGUAGCUAAUACCGCAUACCAUCAGAUGUGCCCAGAUGGGAUUCGCUUGUGGGUGGGGUAAUGGCUAACCUAGGCGACGAUCCCUAGCUGGGCUGAGAGGAUGACCAGCCACACUGGAACUGAGACACGGUACAGACGCCUACGGGAGGCAGCAGUGGAGAGUAUUGCACAAUGGGAUCAAGGCUGAUGCAGCCAUGCCGCGUGUAUGAAGAAGGCAUUCGUGUUGGAAAGUAAUUUCAGCGAGGAGGCGUUACUCGCAGAAGAAGCACCGGCUAACUCCGUGCCAGCAGCCGCGGUAAUAC